rnacentral:rRNA from 1 species
GCCCUACGGGGCGCAGCAGGCGCGAAAACUUUACAAUGCUGGCAACAGCGAUAAGGGAACCUCGAGUGCCAGGUUACAAAUCUGGCUGUCGAGAUGCCUAAAAAGCAUUUCAUAGCAAGGGCCGGGCAAGACCGGUGCCAGCCGCCGCGGUAACACCGGCGGCUCGAGUGGUAACCGUUAUUAUUGGGUCUAAAGGGUCUGUAGCCGGCCGGAUAAGUCUCUUGAGAAAUCUGGCAGCUUAACUGUCAGGCUUUCAGGAGAUACUGUCUGGCUCGAGG